rnacentral:lncRNA from 10 species
GCCCAGGCUGGAGUGCAGUGGCGUGAUCUUAGCUCACUGUAACCUCUGCCUCCCCGGUUCAAGCGAUUCUUUUGCCUCAGCCGCCUCAGCAGCUGGGACUACAGGUGCAUGCCACUGUGCCUGGCUAAUUUUUUGUAUUUUUAGUAGAGACGGUUUCAUCAGGUUGGCCAGGCUGGUCUCAAACUCCUCGCCUCAAGUGAUCCACCCGCCUCUCAAAGUGCUGGGAUUACAGGCAUGAGACAGCACCUAGCCAGAAGAAUUUGACCCAGGGGGCAUAUGGUGGAAGGAAAGCCCAAGGCAACACCUGGGCCUCAGGACUGCGUGAUGGGUGCCCCGUGAAAUCUAAUUCCACUGUGAACUAUGCUGACAUCCAUCAAGGCCUUUACCUCCUACCUCUUGGUUUGAAAUGGGUCUCCAAGACUUCCACCAUCCACAACUGAUCCAGAAAUGGCUCUGGCAGUACCCAAGGGUUCCUUGAAGGCAGGUCUGGGUCUGGUUCUCCGGAUCCCAACACCACGAGGUACUUUAUUUUAAAAGGAUUAAAAAAGCCACUGCUUGUCAAAUCUUGAACUAAAGGACUAACACCAAUUCUCAUAACAUCCUUAAGCCGGCCAUGUGAAAUGGGUGCUGUAAUUACCAUCCUAAUCUUAAGGGCAUGGAAAAUAAAGCACAGAGGGUAAAUCCUAUGGCUAAUCAGGAGCAGAGGUUGGUUUUGAUGUUGAAUGUGUGCACUCUGAGCCCAGAGUCGAUGACUAGAUAUAAAUGCAUCCAAGCCCAGCCCCCAAGAUGCUAGUUAGGUGGUGGCACAAGGUGGGGAUGUGACAAGGCAGCUGUUGCUUGCUGCUUUAUGAGAGGUACAGAUGGACAGACCCCAAGGAAUCACACUGAGCAACGUUUCAACCAGAAAUAGAAAUGGUCUUGGAAGGUGGAGGGCAGGACAGGCGUGCCCAGAAAAGCAGGAGGUAAGUGUGACUCCCAGGCAAGAACCCAAAAGACUCGGGGCUGGGGACAUGGAUGCCUACAGGACAGACACUGUGGCUUUUGGGGAUUAAAGAACUCAAAAUACUGAGCGCACAACCUGUCACCAGAUGAAUGUAAAUCCCCCUUCGGUAAACCCAGCAUUAUUUUUUCAUGACAUUUUGAGUGUGCUUUCAAUAACACUGUGACAUUGCUGCUGUGUUCCUGAUAUUUUUAAGCUUCAGGCUUUUCUUCUGCAAGCUCUGGCUGUGUAGUUGCUCUUCUACAAGCACAAGUUAAAUGGUGAAUUAAAAAAAAGUGAGAAAGGCUUUACUGUUUGUUGGGGGGGGGAGGGGAACACAGAACUAGAAUAGCUUGUCAACUCAUCCUUUGUGGAUAACCACUGUUAGGACAGUAGUUACAUAGUUUUCUAGUCAUUUUUCUUUGUGUAUUUGUCAUACUAAGUCUUCCAAAAUGUAAGUGAAGUUGCUUGCAAAAUCUUUUUUUCGUGGUGGAGUCUUGCUCUGUUGCCCAGGCUGGAGUGCAGUGAUGUAAUCUCGACUCACUGCAAGCUCCACCUCCUGCAUUCAUGCCAUUCUCCUGCCUCAGCCUCUGAAAUCUGGUAUUUUAAAUCAAAGCAGUCUGGCAUUAGAAUGCCAGAGAUGAUGAUGGAAAUGGCCUGGAAGAUAGUAAGGACGAAGGUGCUGUGUAAUGCUUUCAGAGUGACUGCUGUCAGGCUGGGCAUCACUAUUUCAUCUAUUUCUUGGUGUUCUCACCAUGGGAGAUGGGAAGCUCGAGAAGUUACUGCCCCAGGCCCAUGGUAGAGAAGCAGAAUGUGGCUUACAUUUGGAUACAGGGCCAUGUGCAAGGUCACGUGGCAGCAGUCCCCAACCUUUUUGGCACCAGGGAUGAGUUAUGUAUAAGAAAAAUUUUCCACAGAUGUAGGGGGUGGGGAUGCUUUUGAGAUACAAAGUGUGUUACAUUUGUACAUUCUAUUAUUACUACAUGGAAAAAAUUACACAACUCACCAUAAUGUAGAAUCAUUGGGAGCCCUGAGCUUGUUUUCCUGCAACUAGAUGGUCCCUUCAGGGGGCGAUGGGAGAGGGUGAGAGAUCAUCAGGCAUGAGAUUCUCGUAAGUAGCAUGCAGCCUAGAUCCCUCACAUGGGCAGUUCACAAUAGGGUUUGCAUGCCUUUCAGAAUGCAGUGCUGCUGCUGAUCUGACAGGCAGAGCUCAGGCGGUGAUGCGAGUGAUGGGGAGUGGCUGUAAAUACAGACGAAGCGCUGCUCACCCACUGUGUAGCCCAGUACCUAACAGGCUAUGGACUGGUACUGGGCCAGGGGUUGGGGACCAGAAGAGGGAUCCAAGCCUGAUUUGACUACUACUCAUCCUAGACUAAGGAGCACGGGGACACAGCGGUAGACCUCUACAUUGCAGUUACGAUGUGUGAAUUUACUUAAAAGGAGUCUUUUGUCUCUCUCCCCCAUAACUGUGUAAAUUUCUUUAAAGUCUCUGAAUCCCUCUGUUACCUGAAACAUGGGGCCGAUAUCAACCCACCUAUGAGAUUAAACAAGACAAUGCUUUCAGGCCCUGAAGCAAACUCAGGCACAUUUUCUGCAAAUGGGCUGCCUGUGGCCCUCUUGUGGCUCUUGGUGACUGUGGCCCUGCCCCUAGGGAGCCCUUAUCAGGCAGAUAAACUGCUUCAGGUUGUACAAUGCGGGAUGAUCACCCAAUGGGCCUGGGACAGCCUAGUGGUGAGGCUUGUGCAGCCCCCCGUAGAAACGGGAUGGGGGUGGAUUCAAAUCCCAGCCACAAGGACCAGCAGGAUUGGGUGGGAUGGAGAAUAGGUUUCUUUUAAGCUCGGGGCCUGCACUGUGUGAGCAGCUGUGGCAGAGAGUGACAGGUGUAUGGAUCCACCAUGGACGGGGUACUGAGAGGCAUGGCACUGUGGGGUGUGUGCAUCCCUGGGGUAAACAGUGCUCAUUAAAAACUAAAGAUGCACUGUGCUUAACUUUAAAGGAUGGCAUUAAGUUCAUACAGAAGUCUACCAAUGCUUUCUAGAUGUCAGCUUUCACCACUUCAAGGCUAACAUAUCACUCUAUGUAAAAUUCCGAUGGUUACCAAUGGCUGUGAUGCUGAGGGGGCCUCUUUGUCUCUUUGUUGAUAGCCACUUGAGGUGACCAGGGGCCAUCUCGCGUUUCAGAGCUGGCUCAGCCUGACAUUUCAGAAGACCUCAGAUACCAUCUACUGGGGGGGCUGAAGAGAGGCUCUGUGAUGGUUCUGCUGGAGUAAACCGUAAUUAUUAAAAACUGAGAUGCAUUACGCCUAACUUGCUAAGGAUGGAAAGGAUUAUCCCUGAAUGCUGCUGGUCUUCUAAUUCUCAGUUGCCCCGUCCCCACUUUGCAUGGGAUGUUCAGAGCACAAUCAUGUCUCUGUUGUAAUCCCGGCCAAUUACCUCACAGUGCUCUCCCCACUGCAGCACCCAGCCCAACCAACCGUGGCUAAAAUCUUAAGCAGAAGACCCACAGGAAGACAGGGCAAGCGGUGAAUGAAAAUAGCAGCCUGCCUGCCCUGACGACUUGAGAAUCCUCCAGUUGCCUGCAGAGGCCCUCCUCCACUCGCUGGAAUGGCUAUGGUCAUGUCACAUUGAUGAUGUUUUGGUGAACAACAGACUGCAGAUAUGAUAGUGAUCCUGUAAGAUCGUGAUGGAGCUGAAAAAUAUCUGUUGCUUAGUGACAUCACAAUGCAGUGCACUACUCCUGCAUCUGAGGUGAUGCUGGUAUCAAACGAGCCUACUGCACUGCCACUCAUCAAAAAGAUUUUUUGGGCUGGGUGUAGUGGCUCACACCUGCAAUCCCAGCAUUCUGGGAUGCCAAGGAGAAUGGGUCAUUUGAGGUCAGGAGUUCAAGAUCAGCCUAGCCAACAUAGUGAAAUGCUGUCUCUACUGAAAAUGCAAAAAUUAGUUGGGAGAGGUGGUGUGUUCCUGUAAUCCCAGCUACUUAAGAGGCUGAAGCAGGAGAAUUGCUUGAACCCAGGAGGAGGAGGUUGCAGUGAGCCAACAUCAUGCCAAACUCAGUCUCAAAAGCCAAAGGUGGCUUGUUUCUAUUCGCAAGCCCUCAACCAUUCAGCAUCUCCACCCUCUUCUGAGGUUCUUCCCAUCUCUCUGAAGCUGUAAUCCCAUCGUCACUUCCUCUGGCAACACGGGGACUGCCUGCCAUGCCCUAACUCCUCCUUGUGCUUUUGGCCUUCGCCUAAGAGUUCCUUGGAGUUUCUUCACAGCAUCUGUAGCCAUCUGAAGUGUCAUCUUCUGUACUAUAUUGCCAGUGCCUACAAUUACGACUGGUAUACUCAACCAGGCGGCAGUGGUCUUGUACAAUCUCUCUCUGUAUUCUCAAGUCCCCAUCUGCGAGCAUGGCUACUGGAAAUAACUGCAGCUGUAUACUGACUUAAAGAUCCAAAAAUCCCAGGAAGGACCCCAGAGCUGUGAGCCAGAAGCCCAAGGCCCUCCCAGCCUGAAAGCCCCAGGCCAAGCCUGAACUAUAUGCAGUCAUCCCCAUGAGAAUAUAAACUCCAUGAGGGCAGCAACUUGGCUGGCCUGUGUGCCAGUGCUGGGGACAUCACUGAGAAAUGAAGGCCCAUUUGGCAGGCUAUUUUUGAGCAAGAUUCCUGAGGCCCAAUCGUUGGGUGAUGAGAUGGACCCGAGGUAUUUCACUCCAGCUCUCGAGCCAAAAGAACUGACCACGUCCUCACCACUGCUCUGCGCCAGAUUUCAUCCAAGCAAAGAGAGGAUCACAUGGAGAUGAAAACACCCCACUUCCUUCAUCUGGAUGACACCUUGUUUAGAAGCCCAUCACUCGGCCAGAGAAGAAAUAUUUAGAUUGAGAAACAGCUUUUUGUUGUGCCCUAAGCCCAUUCUACCUUUAUGAUUCAACUAAAAAUUUAUUUCCACUUAAAUAAAACCAGCAAUUCUGAGCUUCCCCUCCCGUCACAGGUUUCCUCCCAGAAAGUCUAUCAUGAAAAUACUGCUCAAAAAUCAUCUGUAAAAAGGUAUACAUUACACAUAGAAGCACGUAUGUAUGCACCGGUGGAAGUAUAUAUCCUCAUAUUUGGUGUUUGGUUUUUUUUUUUUUUUUGUAGAUUGAGACUGUGUCUCCCAGACUGGAAUGUAAUGACACAAUGUCAGCUCACUCCAACCUCCACCUCCCGGGUUUAAGUGAUUCUCCUGCCUCAGCCUCCCAAGUAGGUGGGAGUACAGGCGUGCACCACCAUGCCUGGCUAAUUUUUGGAUUUUUAGUAGAGAUGGGUUUUCCUCUUGUUGGCUAGGCUGGUCUCACACUCGACCUCAGGUGACCCAACCACCUUGGCCUCCCACAGUACUGGGAUUACAGGUAUAAGCCUCUGUGUCUGGCCCAUAUUUGCUAUUUCUAAAAUUAGAAAGGUAUUGUGUGGUACUCUUCCAUGCUUUAUCCUCUUAGUAAUAAUGUCAUGGAGAUUUUUUCCAUAUCACUACAUGCGGUAUGGAAGGUAUUCCCUUUACAUGUGAGUGUACAUCAGCCUCAGUAUUCUAGCCCAUAGGUUGGCAAACUUCCUAUAAAGGGUGAGACUAAACAUACUAGGCUCCAGGGAGGCAUUCCAUCUCAGUUACAACUCAACUUUGCCCUUAUAAUAAGAAGCUAUACAUGAAGUGUGAAUGACUGGGCAUGUUCCAAUAAAACUUUACUUAUAAAAAACAGGUGGAGGGUAAGAUUUGGCCUGUGGGCCAUCAUUUUCUGAUCUCUGUUCUAGUCUGAACCAUCUUUGGCUGUUUCACCACAGUCAUGCGGCCAAGGAGGCAAGGCCUGGCCACACAGGGCACAGAAGCCAUGAUGGGCCUUGUCUGCAAGUAGAAAUCACCUGCUAAUCACCAACAGGUCUCAAAGUAAAUGCUGGAACACACUUUGUAGGGUGACUCUCCUGGCCCCAAGCAGCAUCUGCGACAUCAAGAUGCCGGGCCUUGGGACUGCCUCAAGCUGGUUUCGGCAGCUAUGCUCUUUACAGAGCGUGUGGAGGGCAAGGACUCUGGAGUAGAAAAAGGUGCAGGUCUUAGGGCUGGGGUCCCAGGGUGGAAGCCCACUCCAUGCCUUACUGGCUAUUUGAGAUAGAGGAUGAAAAAUGGCAUGAACAUCUUUGUAUGUGUGAGGAUCUUCCUGUUGCCCACGCUGGAGUUCAAUGGUGCAAUCUUAGGUCACUGCAACCUCCACCUCCCAGGUUCAAGAGAUUCUCCUGCCUCAGCCUUCUGAGUAGCUGGGACUACAGGUGCACACCACCACCCAUGGCUAAUUUUUGUAUUUUUGGUAGACAUGGGGUUUUGUCAUAUUGACCAGGCUGGUUUCCAACUUCUGACCCUGAGUGAUCUACCACCUCAGCCUCCCAAAGUGCUGGGAUUACAGGGAUGAGCCACCAUGGCUGGCAGACACAAGCAUCGUGAGGGGUGCCUAGCCCCUGCAGACACUCCAUGAACAGCAAAUGUGAUAACUGCUAAAUCAAAACUACCCCAGAAUUUUCCAUCUGCUAUGUCCCCAAGAAAUGACACUGUAACAGGGAGCCGAACACUAUGAUGCCUGCCCAGCUGCAAGAGUGGACUCACCUAAGAUACUCCACAAGCUUUUUAUGCUGUUACAACGGACCCAAAGCACGGGAGAGCAGGGGCCUCACUUGUGCUGUUGCUUGAGAGUUCCCUAAAUGCCAGGCCAUAGCAGGUACUGAAGAAUACCUACAGCCCGAGUGAGUGCUGCUAUGUGUAGGGUUCAGGCCAAGGGCCCUGGCUGCAGAGCAGAGGAACUGAGAGCUAGACAGGGCUGGGCCUGCCAUAGGAAAACAACAGCCCAGCUAUGACCCAGCACUGUGGUGGCUGGGGGAUGAGAGAUGAGCUCAGCACAGAAAACACCUUGGAGCCCUGGAUGUACCCCUCCUACACCAGUACAAUGCCCUGCAGUGCUCUGGGCUUUAAACUUCACUUCUUGCUGAGUUGACACCAAAUGAGGCCCCUGAAGAGCCUCUUCUGCUGUGGGGCUUGGACAGAGUACCCGGGCCUGGAGUGGGACUUACAGGGAAGCCAGCAUCAUAGAAAAUCCCUAGAGGGAAUUCCCAGAAGGCUGCACCCUCAAAGCAUCUGGUCCAGACAAGACAACCCUGACUAGUCAUCCUGAAAGCCCGGUGCUGUCCAAAAGACACAGAUGCCAUGGUACAGGGAUGUGGCACAGUGGGGAGCCAGAGGGGCCAACUCUUCAAGGCUGCAGGACCUUUGCACCUGCUGUGUCCACUGCCUGGCUCCCUGCCUCAGGUCUCCACUUCGGGUCAAACUAUCCCUGUCAUCUUCCUAGACCAUAAACAGCACAUCCCCAGCAGGCUUCUUUCCCUCUGUGAUGACUGUGAUGUCAUUUCCUGUCUUUUCACUGGAAAUCGCCACCUCACAUAGGCAUGUCUGCCUCACUAUUCAAUGUCUGUGUCCCCCAUGAAAACAGAUGCUUUAUCUGCUGUUGAACUAUCAGGAUCUGAAAUGGUGCACUGGCUUCCAGCUGCACUCCUAGCCCUGGAAAAACCAAACCAGCCUGAUCUUACUGGUGACUGUAUAAUCUUAAUCCCUUUAUUUUCAUAUAUUUUGAAAGCAAUCCUAAUUGUCUGUAUUUAAAAUUUCCUUUGUUGCAUGGAAGGUAGCUGUUUAAAUGUCUAAUUUUCUCCUAUCUUCUUAGUUUUCUAGUCAAAAUAAUAGCUUUAAUCACAGUGGGUCUAGAUGGAUUCAAAAAGGAAGAUUUAUCCACUCUUCUUGGUAAUUGUUU